rnacentral:rRNA from 1 species
GAGUUUGAUCCUGGCUCAGAUUGAACGCUGGCGGCAUGCCUUACACAUGCAAGUCGAACGGCAGCAUGAUCUAGCUUGCUAGAUUGAUGGCGAGUGGCGAACGGGUGAGUAAUACAUCGGAACGUGCCCUGUAGUGGGGAUAACUAGUCGAAAGAUUAGCUAAUACCGCAUACGACCUGAGGGUGAAAGUGGGGGACCGCAAGGCCUCAUGCUAUAGGAGCGGCCGAUGUCUGAUUAGCUAGUUGGUGGGGUAAAGGCCCACCAAGGCGACGAUCAGUAGCUGGUCUGAGAGGACGAUCAGCCACACUGGGACUGAGACACGGCCCAGACUCCUACGGGAGGCAGCAGUGGGGAAUUUUGGACAAUGGGGGCAACCCUGAUCCAGCAAUGCCGCGUGUGUGAAGAAGGCCUCGGUUGUAAG